CCAUCCUCCUGUCAAGCACAACAAUUGGCUCUAUCAGAGGUUGUCCAUUAGAAGAGCAAUUUGGAGGAUCAAUAGAUGGAAUGACUUGCUAUCUAAUCCUUUUCUUAAGCUGAGAAAUAUGGAAAACAAGAUGUAUCUUGGAAGUGAGGCAAGUUGAGCUUAUGUACAACAACUCCAAUCUUCUGCACUAUCUGGUAAGGCCCAUAGAACUUAGAAGCCAGCUUCAAACUCUUUCUUACAGCCACAGAGGUCUGCCUAUAGGGUUGCAGUUUCAGAAAUACCCAGUCACCAACAUUGAAUUCUCUUUAUGUCCUCGUCUUGUCAGAAUUCACCUUUAUUCUGUUUUGAGCCUUUUCCAAAUUCUCUUUUAAUGCCUUUGCCAUGAUUUGUCUCUCCUUCAAGACUUGAUCUAUAGCAGCCACUUUUGUCUGUGAAAUCAACUCAACGGAGAGUUGUGGUGGUUCAUAUCCAUACAACACUUUGAAAUGAGUCAUCUUCAAGGUAGAGUAGUAAUUACUAUUGUACCAAAACUCAGCCAAUGAGAGCCAUUAAUUCCACUUUUUAGGUUUAUGCCCUGUCAUGUAUCUUAGGUAAUUCUCCAAGCAUCUGUUUACUCUCUCAAUCUGUCCAUUUAUUUGUGGAUGACAGGCUGAGCUAAAGCGUAACUGUACCUAUAAAUUCUUAAAAAGUUCCCUCCAGAAGUUACUAAGGAAGACCUUAUCCUUGUCAGAUACAAUGCUCUUAGGUACACCAUACAAUUUAUAAACGGUAGUCAUAAAUACCCUGACAAUCUGUGGGGCAGUGAAAGAAUGAGCCAAUGCAAUGAAGGGUGCAUAUUUACUGUAUAUAUCUACCACGACCAAGAUAGUAUCUUGCCCUUCUGACUUUGGCAGGCUCUCAAUAAAAUCCAUAGAUAUAUAUGCUCCCAAGCUUUCUCUGGUACUGACAGAGGUUGUAAUAAUCCUGGGUGGUAAAUCGGUUGGCUCCUGGAACACAUCAUUGUAUACUGAUAGCAACCUUUCCGAUGCGGGUACCACGAUGCAACAUUCUUCUUAAAGCUUCAGUAUCAAUUGGGAUCACCUCAGGUCCAGCAUUAACUCCAAUUAAGGUCACAAUUUUGCCAUCUUUCAUGAAGCUCAGGCUGUGAGGUCUAGUAUUCAAGACCACUUGAGCUACUACAUCAAUCCAGUCUAUUCCCAAGACCAUGUCACAUCCCCCAGCCUUGAGUAAUCUAAUUUUAAAAGCAAAGAUUUCAUCUUGCAUUUUUCAAUUAAAUAGAGAGCUUUCCUGAUCA